rnacentral:lncRNA from 1 species
UCUUCCCAUCAGAAACUGAUUUGGUCCCUGUUCCGCUUCCAUUUUCUGAAAAAUCCUCUUUGCAACCACAUGUACAAGCAGGGUAGGUAAUUGAAUAUGCAAGUUCGACCUGGAACUUCUUCAAUUUGGAAAAUAUGAAGCAAUUGUUUGAAGAUCCAUGGAAAUAGAGGCAAUUCUUUUCUUAUUUGGUGUACUUUAGUUCCAUUUGCCUGUCCAUAUCCC